GCUUAACACAUGCAAGUCGAACGGUAGCAGGUCCUUCGGGAUGCUGACGAGUGGCGGACGGGUGCGUAACGCGUGGGAAUCUGCCCAAUAGUGGGGGAUAACCCGGGGAAACUCGGGCUAAUACCGCAUACUCCCUACGGGGGAAAGCGGGGGACCGUAAGGCCUCGCGCUAUUGGAUGAGCCCGCGUCCGAUUAGCUUGUUGGUGGGGUAAAGGCCUACCAAGGCGACGAUCGGUAGCUGGUCUGAGAGGACGACCAGCCACACUGGGACUGAGACACGGCCCAGACUCCUACGGGAGGCAGCAGUGGGGAAUAUUGGACAAUGGGGGAAACCCUGAUCCAGCAAUGCCGCGUGUGUGAAGAAGGCCUGCGGGUUGUAAAGCACUUUCGGCAGGAAAGAAAAGUCAUGCGCCAAUACCGCAUGACCUUGACGUUACCUGCAAAAGAAGCACCGGCUAACUCCGUGCCAGCAGCCGCGGUAAUAC
rnacentral:rRNA from 1 species